UGUUUUUGACGCUUUUGCUGAUCAGGAGAUUUACUUUUCAGGGAGCUGGCUUGGUAGUUCAUGACGCAGGGGCUUAUUGCAUGAGCAUGGCAUCAACUUACAAUCUCAAGAUCGCCCACCUGAGUACUGGGUUGAAGAAGAUGGAUCCAUGGCCAAGAUUCGUCAUGCAGAGACAUUUGAAGACCAUAUAAGAUACUUUGAGGGUCUUUAGUACUUGUAGAAGAGAGAGGCUUGUUAACAUUAGCUUGCUUAGUAUUUUGUAUGCCUUAUUUGAUUAAGAGUAAUGAUUGAUAUUAUGAACUAGUUAUAUUAAUCAAACUGUUACUAUUGCUCAUGAGAAUAAAGGCCUAACCACAGAGGUUACCACUAGGUGGUUGCUGCA